GACGAGCCACACAAACGUUAUUCGGAAUUACUGGGCUUAAAGGGCGCGUAGGCGGUCACGCACGUCCGUUGUGAAAUCGCUCGGCUCAACUGGGCGGGGUCAGCGGAUACGGCGUGGCUGGAGCAAGCUAGGGGGCAAUGGAAUUCCCGGUGUAGUGGUGGAAUGCGUAGAUAUCGGGAGGAACACCAGUGGCGAAGGCGGUUGCCUGGAGCUUUGCUGACGCUGAUGCGCGAAAGCGUGGGGAGCGAUCCGG
rnacentral:rRNA from 1 species